AUAUUAAUAAGUGGAGGAAAAGAAACCAACUGGGAUUCCCUUAGUAACGGCGAGUGAAGCGGGAACAGCUCAAUUUUGUAAUCUCAUAGGGAAAACCUGUGUGAAUUGUAAUUGCGAAAAACGUCUUCUGGGGUAAUGUAGGCUCAAGUCCACAGGAAUGUGGCACCAUAGAGGGUGACAGUCCCGUUGGGCUAACUAUACUCCUGUGUGAUUCGUUUUUGAAGAGUCGGAUAGUUUGGGAUUGCUGUCCAAAACGGGUGGUAAAUACCAUCUAAAGCUAAAUAAUGGCAAGAGACCGAUAGCGCACAAGUA
rnacentral:rRNA from 1 species